CAAGGGCGCCUACAAAGAUUUUAACCAGUGAGAAGUGCACAUUUAUAUUUAUGUAGAGUUUUGAAAAUAUAUACCUUACUUAUAUAAUAACAUUGACCGAAAAACGGCGGAGAGAGGAACAUGGUCUCAAGAUAUAGCAUAAAGAUAUAAAACGUAAGUAUAAUACACACCCAAAUGGUCAGUUAACAGUUUAAUGGUUAUAAUAGAUGGAGUGAAUUAUUUUAAUACCGGAAAUGAAGCAAAACCGGAACACUCACUACACUGUACUGCUGUAGGCUACGGAAUACGGAUUGAUUCCAACUGGUUCUUACAAGUGUUGAAUAUUAUUUACAGAUGCCCUUGAAAUGCACAUUGUUGUAGCUUAUACAACAAAUCGACGACCGACGACCUGUUCAAUACUUUAUACUGACCGCGACGUCAAUGUCUACAAGAAACGAAUACUUAAUUAUACAAGAUCAGGGGUUGACGAGUGGCUAACCUAACCAAGGGCCACGGCCCAUGAAGCAAUUUGUAUAACUCACGAAUAAAUUUAAAUAAUUCUUAAAUUCUUUAAUUUACACAUCAUUUAAUUCUGUCAAUUUGAUAAAUUAUUUAAUUAGCAGUA